rnacentral:rRNA from 1 species
AGUGAACGCUGGCGGUAGGCCUAACACAUGCAAGUCGAACGGCAGCACAGUAAGAGCUUGCUCUUACGGGUGGCGAGUGGCGGACGGGUGAGGAAUACAUCGGAAUCUACUUUUUCGUGGGGGAUAACGUAGGGAAACUUACGCUAAUACCGCAUACGACCUACGGGUGAAAGCAGGGGAUCUUCGGACCUUGCGCGAUUGAAUGAACCGAUGUCGAAUUAGCUAGUUGGCGGGGUAAAGGCCCACCAAGGCGACGAUCCGUACCUGGUCUGAGAGGAUGAUCAGCCACACUGGAACUGAGACACAGUCCAGACUCCUACGGGAGGCAGCAGUAGGAAAUAUUGGACAAUGGGAGCAAGCCUGAUCCAGACACACCGCGUGGGUGAAGAAGGCCUUCUGGUUGUAAAGCCCUUUUGUUGGGGAAGAAAAGCAGCAGGUUAAUACCCCGCUGUUCUGACGGUACCCAAAGAAUAAGCACCGGCUAACUUCGUG